GUGGCAAACGGUUGGGGGAACAAUCCAGACGGACCCAAAGCAGUUGCAGCAGAGAGGGAGGCAUCCAAUCCCGUCCACCAGGCCCCAAAGGCCGUCGUCCUGCCUGGAGAACAGAGCAGUGCUAGGAAACUGACUUUUCUCAAAAAUGAACUCUCCCAACCAAUCUGCACCAUGAAAUUAUUUCAGCAAACAAAAAAGUAAUGGUUGCCCAUCACCGCACACUGCCUGUGACUCAGCCAUCACUCACAGGCAAAGAAGGGUGUUCUCUCCUCUCCCUGUCAGUUACUAAUUCUCUGUAAAUGACCAUUUGACAUCCUGGCCGGGGAGGAUUCAGAUCAGAGAUGACUUCACCACUGCCACAAAGUAUGGUUCUGGGAAGGACAACCAGCCCCAAGGCCACGAAGGUUCUGAAAAAGUUUCUUCUCAUUUGAAGUCCA
rnacentral:lncRNA from 1 species